UCUUCCUUGGCCGAACCACCAUAUCUUCGAAGCUUGAAAAACCCACUUGUGAUUUAGCUAUAGAAAUGGCUAGUUUCCUUCAUGAAAAGUGUUAAGCUAUGCAUAGAAAGUGAUGUCCACCUAUUAUUUUCCUCCUAGAAGCGUUAUGUAGGAAGAAAAUUCAUUCCUUAGUGUGCGGCACCAUUUUGUUUUUGGUGUUGUAAGAGUGUUUACUCACUUGGAAGCUUGCAAAGUCUUCAUUCCACACUUAAUUGAAGCUUUGAGAGUUGAACUAGUGGUGUGUUGGUGGAAGAUAAAUCAUUAGAGCCUUCCAUUGGUCAGAGUUUUGAUUCUUGAAUCUCUCAAGAAUAGGGUGCUCUUAGUGUGGAAAUUGGUGGUUUGAACUCUUAGACACAAAGAGAAUGAGAGCUUUGGAGGAUACACUUCAAGAGGAUUAAAGCAAGUGGACCAAGUGGAGUGACCAAUCCUUGUGGUUAUGUUCAAUUGAGAAAAGGAAAGCUUUGAGGAAAGUUCAAGAGCAAGGU